ACUUGAGCAAAGUCGAAGGCCCGGUUCCCUUUACAUCGGAUGAGGGGAGAGGCCCUACAGCGCCCAUAUGCGACCCCACAGCCCUGCUAGAGACAAAAGGAGAACCCCGUCCUAACCAGAGCUGAAACCUGUUACGACAAGAAUGGGAGAAGAACCCCAUCCUGACGUCAAUCUAAAGUCCGAUCGUUCGAAGACCAGAAGAGAAAAAGGGGGGGGACUUUCCCCAACGGCCCCCUCGCAAGGA
rnacentral:lncRNA from 1 species